AAGCUCGUAGUUGGAUCUCAACAGCCUUGAAGCGGUUAACUUUGUAGUUUUACUGCUUUAUAGGCAGUGCUUUUGCUGGAGGUUUAGGGGUGCUCUUGAUCGAGUGUCUCUGGAUGCCAGCAGGUUUACUUUGAAAAAAUUAGAGUGCUCAAAGCAGGCUAAAAUGCCUGAAUAUUCGUGCAUGGAAUAAUAGAAUAGGAUGUCGAUCCUAUUUUGUUGGUUUUCGGGACUCGACAUAAUGAUAAAUAGGGACAGUCGGGGGCAUUUGUAUUCAAACGACAGAGGUGAAAUUCUUGGACCGUUUGAAGACAAACUACUGCGAAGCAUUUGCCAAGAAUGUUUUCAUUAAUCAAGAACGAAAGUUAGAGGUUCGAAGACAAAAAA
rnacentral:rRNA from 1 species